GAGAACAGUUUUGGCAGUCGCACCGUAUACGGUGAGGAAAGUCCGGACACCACAGAACAGGGUACCGGGAGAAGCCCCGGGGAUACUUCGGUAUUACGGAAAGUGCCGCAGAUAAAAGUCGGCUCUGCUAGAGCGGAGUCAGAAGUGAAACGGAAGGAUAAGAUCUUCCAUAUGGUAAACCCUGCCCGGUGCAAGACCAAGCAGAGAAUUUUCCCUCAGGGGAAAGGGAGUUGUUCGCUCCCCCGUUCUCAGGUGGGUCGCUCAAUGCCCCCUUUGGAGGCCAGAUAAAUGACUGCCCCAAUGAACUAUUGGAACAAAAUCCGGCUUACGAACUGUUCUCUCCC
rnacentral:RNase_P_RNA from 2 species